rnacentral:lncRNA from 1 species
CUUUGUAGGGAUGCAAACAGAUCCUGGUUGGCAGAUCUCCGGCCUAAUAAUUUAAUAGAGAAAAUUUAAAAAUAUUAUCUUUAUAAUUUUGUAUUGUUUUCACUUUGGUAUUCUGUGAAUUAAAGUGUAUCACUUUUGUAUUCUGUAAUUUUAUUUUUUUCUUUUUAUUGUUUCAGUCACUAUCUUUUUUUGUUAAACCAGUGGCAAAGUUAAAACUAAAGGAUGUCAAAGUAAAUAUUCAAUAAACUGUAGGUGGGUAACAGAAGUUUUUUUAUAUAUAAUUUAACGAAAAGCUAACGGAGGGACUGACGAAAAGAGAAAAAUGAAACACAUGUUACUAAAUUGAUAUACUUUAAACCAUAUGGUACUAAAGUAAAAAAAGUGCGAAACCACGAAGGUAUGGUAUUUGAAGUUUACCCAUAAUUUAAAAAUUGAGCCAAAUCUGAUGGUUCGAUCGAUCCGAUCACGACUCAAGGGUCUAUAAAGUAAUCUAGUUUAAUCUUUUAAACCGAAUAAGUCAAAAAAUUGCUUUGAACUGUUCGAACCGGUGAUUCAAUCAUCGAACU